UCUGUGCUGAUCUUUAGCUUCUGGGUUUC
rnacentral:piRNA from 1 species